rnacentral:rRNA from 1 species
CAGCAGCCGCGGUAAUACGAAGGGUGCAAGCGUUACUCGGAAUUACUGGGCGUAAAGCGUGCGUAGGUGGUGGUUUAAGUCCGUUGUGAAAGCCCUGGGCUCAACCUGGGAAUGGCAGUGGAUACUGGCAAGCUAGAGUGUGUCAGAGGAUGGUGGAAUUCCCGGUGUAGCAGUGAAAUGCGUAGAGAUCGAGAGGAACAUCAGUGGCGAAGGCGGCCAUCUGGGACAACACUGACGCUGAAGCACGAAAGCGUGGGGAGCAAACAGGAUUAGAUACCCCUGUAGUCCCUGUCUCUUAUAC